AAUAAAUUUAUUUAUAAAUUUGUGUGUCCAACGUUUGAUCACCUGUCAUAUUUAAAUAUUUUUUAUAAUUUGGCAUUUUUAUUGUUAUUAUGUGAUAAAAUAUAUAUAAUCCUUUAUGCGUGACUUAAUUUUUUAUUUUUUUUAAAUGAGAUAGACGGUCAAACGUUAGACAUAAAACCUACAAAUAAACUAAUU
rfam:Oryza barthii chromosome 2, whole genome shotgun sequence.